AGGUGCUGCAUGGCUGUCGUCAGCUCGUGUUGUGAAAUGUUGGGUUAAGUCCCGCAACGAGCGCAACCCUUAUCCUUUGUUGCCAGCGAUUCGGUCGGGAACUCAAAGGAGACUGCCGGUGAUAAACCGGAGGAAGGUGGGGAUGACGUCAAGUCAUCAUGGCCCUUACGAGUAGGGCUACACACGUGCUACAAUGGCGCAUACAAAGAGAAGCGACCUCGCGAGAGCAAGCGGACCUCACAAAGUGCGUCGUAGUCCGGAUCGGAGUCUGCAACUCGACUCCGUGAAGUCGGAAUCGCUAGUAAUCGUGGAUCAGAAUGCCACGGUGAAUACGUUCCCGGGUCUUG
rnacentral:rRNA from 1 species